rnacentral:lncRNA from 1 species
CUUUUGGCUUGCAGAUGCCUCCCUGAAUGUGUGACAUUGUCAGGACAGAGAGCUUGGCCGAUGGGUGUUUCAAGUUUCCUGAGUAUUACUGGCAGCUGGAGACACUCAUGAGGUCACCUUUAUCUGGCUACAACUAGCCCUGCCUCCGCAAGGCAGGAUCUUCCUGAACUUGACCCCUCUGCAGGGCAGAAGCCUCGCCAUGCAUUCGAACCCGGGUUUCCUAUGCCCUGCAUGUGAUUCUAGG